rnacentral:rRNA from 1 species
GAUGAACGCUGGCGGCGUGCCUAAUACAUGCAAGUCGAGCGAACAGACGAGGAGCUUGCUCCUCUGACGUUAGCGGCGGACGGGUGAGUAACACGUGGAUAACCUACCUAUAAGACUGGGAUAACUUCGGGAAACCGGAGCUAAUACCGGAUAAUAUAUUGAACCGCAUGGUUCAAUAGUGAAAGACGGUUUUGCUGUCACUUAUAGAUGGAUCCGCGCCGCAUUAGCUAGUUGGUAAGGUAACGGCUUACCAAGGCGACGAUGCGUAGCCGACCUGAGAGGGUGAUCGGCCACACUGGAACUGAGACACGGUCCAGACUCCUACGGGAGGCAGCAGUAGGGAAUCUUCCGCAAUGGGCGAAAGCCUGACGGAGCAACGCCGCGUGAGUGAUGAAGGUCGUCGGAUCGUAAAACUCUGUUAUUAGGGAAGAACAAAUGUGUAAGUAACUAGGCACGUCUUGACGGUACCUAAUCAGAAAGCCACGGCUAACUACG